GAGGCGGGGCGGCGGCGGCUGGAACUCGAGAGGCCGCGCUUCCCGGGUUAGGCCGGGGGCAGGCGGAAAGCCCCUUACUCCUCUUUCCCGGGACCGUGGCCAAGGGCUGAGCGGCUGCUUAGCCCACGGAUUCCUGUCAGGGGUGGGUCCUGGCUGGCCUCGCGGAACGGAGAGCCCUUGGCCAGUGCUCGCCACCGGGCAGUAGGUCUUCUUGUGGGCCUGUGCCCUCAAGGCGCCAAAAAGGCAACCGGCCUGCUUCACCUUCCUCCAGCGACGUGUCCACAAAGAAGAAUGUGGAUUUCUUCCGGCAUCUAGAGAAGAGGGCUAGGAGGAGGAAAGUAUCUUUUCCCUUCAGUUACAGCACCCAAAUCUACAACUAAGAAAGUAUAUGAUGAGAAGAAAUAAAAAACAAAAAAGCAAAAUAAAAUUUAUUUCAAAACCUCUA